AAGUCGUAACAAGGUUUCCGUAGGUGAACCUGCGGAAGGAUCAUUAUCGUUAUCCUUCAAACGUACCAACCAACCGCGAACCGUUUAACAACCCCAACCCCUUUGAAUUUUGACUAACAUUAGGUUUUUUACCCUGCAAGUCUAAGCCAAACUCUAAACCUGCGAGGUUCGAGGAGAAUGGUGGGGGCGAGUGGGGACUUAACCGAACUAUACGAAACUAUUAGUACAACUCUUAGCAACGGAUAUCUCGGUUCUC
rnacentral:misc_RNA from 1 species